AUGCCUCGUGCCCACAGCAGAUCGUUCUCCGCCGCCCUCCCAUCGAUCUGCCGCCGAUCCCUGCGGAGCUUCCCUCCCCAAUCCGAUCUGACGGAGAGAGUGCCAGAUCCGGCCGGGGGAGCCGCCGUAGAGCCUCCACGUCGGUGGAGCAGCACCUCCUGCCACGGGCGCCGCCGCCACCUCCUGCCUCACGACCCUUUGCCGCGACUCCGCCCCCAAGCGCGGCUCCCGCACGCAACCCGAACCCUAUCCCGCCAUGCCUCGCUGCCUCGCCGCUUGAGCCGCGCUGAUGGAGCCCGAGCAGCGGUGGCCGACCCCGUCGCCGCCGCCGAGCCUGUGGACGAGGAGAAGGAGAAGGAGGAGGAGACGGAGGCGGCCGAGGACGAGGAGGACACGCUGCUGGACCGCGCGCAGCCUGAUCUCACGGGUCCCUUUGCACAUGUGCAGUUCGUCAAUGGACCAAUGCCUAAUCUCCCCAAGGUUGAUGUUUCACUGGACCCGGUGAAGGAGUUGAGCAGAGUAAUAUCUGAGCGAAAAAAUUGA
rnacentral:rRNA from 1 species